UCUCCUAUGGCGUAAUCGGCAGCGCGUCUGACUGUUAAUCAGAAGGUUGGAAGUUCGAGUCUUCCUGGGAGAG
rnacentral:tRNA from 1 species